UACGAAGGGGGCUAGCGUUGCUCGGAAUCACUGGGCGUAAAGCGCAACGUAGGCGGCUUUUUAAGUCAGAGGUGAAAUCCUGGAGCUCAACUCCAGAACUGCCUUUGAUACUGGAGAGCUUGAGUCCGGGAGAGGUGAGUGGAACUGCGAGUGUAGAGGUGAAAUUCGUAGAUAUUCGCAAGAACACCAGUGGCGAAGGCGACUUACUGGACACAUAUUGACGCUGAGGUGCGAAAGCGUGGGGAGCAAACAGG
rnacentral:rRNA from 1 species